rnacentral:rRNA from 1 species
GAUGAACGCUGGCGGCGUGCCUAAUACAUGCAAGUCGAGCGAACAGAUGAGGAGCUUGCUCCUCUGACGUUAGCGGCGGACGGGUGAGUAACACGUGGAUAACCUACCUAUAAGACUGGGAUAACUUCGGGAAACCGGAGCUAAUACCGGAUAAUAUAUUGAACCGCAUGGUUCAAUAGUGAAAGACGGUUUUGCUGUCACUUAUAGAUGGAUCCGCGCCGCAUUAGCUAGUUGGUAAGGUAACGGCUUACCAAGGCAACGAUGCGUAGCCGACCUGAGAGGGUGAUCGGCCACACUGGAACUGAGACACGGUCCAGACUACUACGGGAGGCAGCAGUAGGGAAUCUGCCGCAAUGGGCGAAAGCCUGACGGAGCAACGCCGCGUGUGUGAUGAAGGUCUUCGGAUCGUAAAACUCUGUUAUUAGGGAAGAACAAAUGUGUAAGUAACUAUGCACGUAUUGACGGUAACUAAUCAGAAAGCCACGGCUAACUACGUG